rnacentral:rRNA from 1 species
UACAGAGGGUGCAAGCGUUGCUCGGAAUUAUUGGGCGUAAAGGGGAGGUAGGUGGUCUCGUUUGUCUGAUGUGAAAUCCCUGGGCUUAACUCAGGACGUGCAUUAGAAACGGCGAGACUGGAGUACUGGAGAGGGUUGUGGAAUUCCCGGUGUAGCGGUGAAAUGCGUAGAGAUCGGGAGGAACACCGGUGGCGAAGGCGGCGACCUGGUCCUUGACUGACGCUGAGGCGCGAAAGCGUGGGGAGCAAACAGG